rnacentral:tRNA from 1 species
GCCACCAUAGCUCAGUAGGUAGAGCACCUCACUUGUAAUGAGGAUGUCGCGGGUUCGAUUCCAGCUGGUGGCU